ACUCCUACGGAGGGCAGCAGUGGGGAAUNUUGCACAAUGGGGGAAACCUGAUGCAGCCAUGCCGCGUGUGCGAAGAAGGCCUUCGGGUCGUAAAGCACUUUCAGUAGGGAGGAAGGUAGUGUAGUUAACACCUGCAUUAUUUGACGUUAGCUGCAGAAGAAGCACCGGCUAACUCCGUGCCAGCAGCCGCGGUAAUACGGAGGGUGCGAGCGUUAAUCGGAAUUACUGGGCGUAAAGCGCAUGCAGGUGGUUUGUUAAGUCAGAUGUGAAAGCCCGGGGCUCAACCUCGGAAUUGCAUUUGAAACUGGCAAACUAGAGUACUGUAGAGGGGGUAGAAUUUCAGGUGUAGCGGUGAAAUGCGUAGAGAUCUGAAGGAAUACCGGUGGCGAAGGCGGCCCCCUGGACAGAUACUGACACUCAGAUGCGAAAGCGUGGGGAGCAAACAGGAUUAGAUACCCUGGUAG
rnacentral:rRNA from 1 species